AGGGAGAUGACAGACAGUUGGUCUCCUCAACAGGACAGCCAUGCAAAGGUGUUCUUUAUGCCUGCACAAACUGCUGAACACUGGCCAUCUGGAGAUUUUACAGUUUUUCCAUUCCUAAAGGUGGACUUCAAUAUGUAUGAUAUACUUAUGCUGCCACAGUGUAAAGGCAACAACCACUGGGUUUUGCUAGUUGCAAAUGUUAAGUCCAGGAGUGUAACCAUUUACGACUCGUUGAGUGGUAACAACACGGCCUUGUUCGAUUUGUUCUGCCAGUUCAUGUGUCAAAGAGCACAAAUUGUAAAAGAUGGUUUAGAAAAAUGGAAUUCGAAGCGCCACCUUGCAACAAACAACGCGAUGGAAACAGCUGUGGAGUGUUUGCAUUGAUGACUGCGGAAUGUUUGGUCAGGAAAAAACAUCCUACAAUGUUGCGACAGCCCCAUGUUUUAGUAUUUAGAGACUACGUGAGACGCAGACUUCUGUUUCAUGGAGUGCGUCAAACUUAUCUGUGCGACUCACUCCACUGCAAAGACCCGCACGGCAUAAUAGAAUGGAUAGCAUGUGAUGUUUGCAAACGAUGGCUGCAUGAGGUCUACGUCUCACAACCUCUAUCCCAAGAUGAAGAUAGCUUUGUGUGUGAUGUGUGUAUUGCACAAUACAGUUGAUGUAUUGAAACUGUGGGCCCGUCUUAUCAAACAUUGUACGACAUUUUCACCUUACGAUGCAAUUUUCGAUGCGCCAUUAAUAUGUAACCGUCACUUUUAUAAUUACUUUUGUUGAACAUUUCCAUUCAUUUCCAAAGAAGGACUCAAAUAUCCAUCAUAAUUAUUUGAAACAUACAGAUCAUAAUUACUUAUAUUUUAAAAUUACAAAAUUCAAUCGUAAGUUAACAUUUUUGUACGAUCAUUGAUAAGACGGACCCCUGGCUUUAAAAAUAAAUCAAAGUCAACUACAACUUAAAAUUAAAA